UGCCAGCAGCCGCGGUAAUACAGAGGGUGCAAGCGUUAAUCGGAUUGACUGGGCGUAAAGGGCGUGUAGGCGGUUAAUUAAGUGAUUUGUGAAAUUCCUGGGCUCAACCUAGGGCUUGCAAGUCAUACUGGUUAACUUGAGUUUAAGAGAGGGAAGUAGAAUUUCUGGUGUAGCGGUGAAAUGCGUAGAGAUCAGAAAGAAUACCGGUGGCGAAGGCGGCUUCCUGGCUUAAAACUGACGCUGAGGCGCGAAAGCGUGGGUAGCGAACAGGAUUAGAUA
rnacentral:rRNA from 1 species